rnacentral:lncRNA from 1 species
GAAGACCAGUGGGUUUCCGUCACAGUAGUGAAGAGUACAGAGGAUCUCUGCACCCUGAUGGAGCAGCAGCUUGCAGCCCUGUGUGUAGCCUGGUGGCCAGGAGGCCAUUACUGGUGCUGCUGAGGGUUUGGUGCCUACCACGAAUCCUUUGAGAGGAGAGGUGUGGAACUGGGCAGUCACCCCGAGGACAGGCAUAGUCCUGAUGCCUGCUCUAGUGAAACGGGGCAUAUUUAGAACACAGGAGAGCUUUGUCCACUAGUCCUCUGACCCAUGAACUUCAACAGGUUCCAGGGCUGCUGCAGUAUGCACCUGAGGAAGCACCAGACCAUGCUGAUGAACUUGAGCUGACAGAGUCAUGCCCUUUAAGGAAGGGCCAGCCCUGUGGGCCACAGUGCUUGGAGCAGUGAGGGGUCCAGUACAGGGCCCUCUGCCCAUGGGAGAGCUGUAGCUUCACAGCCCUCUACCGACACCUUGUGGCACAAUGUGGGAAUGAACAGAGCCGCUAGAGGACUGAGUUUGGUGGCACUGCAGGAACCAGGACCCCUGAUUAUCUGUCCAGUUAGUUGGUCUGUUUGAGGGGUUAACUCUGUGGGUGACUACCUGGGAAGUAGAGAAUUGGAUGGUAGGGCAUUGGCCUUUGUGGGGUCAAGCCAUGGGGCAGAACCUUGGGGCCACAGGCCAUGAGAAGGAGAUAACUGUAGGACAUGACCCUGGCCACGCCCCCUGACUAGCCCAGGGAAUGAUGGAGCAGAGGCUUGGGCCAGGGUGUGGU